GAUGAACGCUGGCGGCGUGCUUAACACAUGCAAGUCGAACGGACAGGCGAGGCUUUUGUGGGGUGGUCGAGUGGCGAGGGGGGGAGUGAAACACGAGUAAAAUGCACUUGAAUGUGGGAGAAAACCAGGGAAAAGGGGAUAAUACAGGAGAGGAGCUCCUGAUGCACGGGGGGGGAUGGAAAGAGUCGGCGGUUGGGGAUGGACUAGCGGCUUAUCAGCUGGUUGGUGGGGUAGUGGCUUACCAGGGCUUUGAAGGGUAGCCGGCCUGGGAGGGUGACCGGCCUCCUUGGGCCUGAGAUACGGCCCAGACUCCUACGGGAGGCAGAGGUGGGGAAUAUUGCACAAUGGGCGGAAGCCUGAUGCAGCAACGCCGCGUGCGGGAUGACGGCCUUCGGGUUGUAAACCGCUUUCGCCUGUGACGUAGCGUGAGUGACGGUACUGGGUAAGGAAGCACCGGCUAACUACGUG
rnacentral:rRNA from 1 species